rnacentral:lncRNA from 1 species
UAUUACUGGCAUGUAUUAUUUAUGGGAGCCUGCAGAGCCAGAACGGACAUGAAGUAAAGCUGUUUUACUGUUAACCUACAAAUGUAAACUUGACCACGAACUAAGUGAACAGGAUUUUACGCUAUGCACAUUGUGUCAGUAAGGUAAACAACUAAUGUUAAUUUUAUGAAAAUCGUCCAAAAGAUUUAGACAACAGACGUCGAGUUAACACCCGUUGUUUUAACAUCAGCAGUAUCUCGAGGUGGAGACAGGUGUACCAGGCCAUCGAUGGCUUCUGCAGCUAUAUGUCACAAAACAGACGUGUGUUGCCACUAUUACUGCAUGAAACAGUCUAUUGUUAUUAUUUAAUCAUUUGCGUGUCAAAUAUUCAAAUAACAGCGAAAACAAUGUGACCAUUCUUAGCCUCAUUCUUUUGACAUGCAAGCUCCGCCAAUAUACGCACCGUACAAUAUAAUUGUAGAAUUACAAGACAUUAGUGCUAUCUGUUAAUAAAUAUUUAAAUUA